rnacentral:lncRNA from 1 species
CAGUGUUGGCACCCUGGUAUUAUCUCCUCACCGAGUUGUGGGCAAAGAUCAGGGACCAUUUUGCCUAUAUAUAUUCAGUGAAACCUGCCCUUGAUCAGUGCCCUUCGGUUUGGGUCAGUGGAACUUCACCUUGCUGUAGCAGAGUAACUCCAGCAGGUAGUGUCCACGUUGCUUGUUCAGUAAUCUUUGUUGGCCGAUGAAGCUCACACAAGUUAGUUCUUGAACUCUACCACUGUCUGUUGCUCUAAACUAGGUGUGAAAUUUGCUCAAAUAUAGGCUGUCAGGUUUCUGGAUCCCAGACUUAGUGCAUAAGGCUGAAACUAGGUUUUAGUGUGUUGAGCUCCAUUUUGGUGCUUCAUAAAAAUUGUUCUGUAUGUUUUCAGCCCAGGGGUACUAUACCAACGUAGUAGAGCUAUAUCUAAGGAAUAACUUUGGUUAUGUGAGCUUGGUCUGUUGCUUUGUAAAAAUUGGAGAAAAGGGUUGGCUAAAGUUGGUCUGUCAGGCUGGACACAUAACUGAAUUUUUAUUCAGUUCUGAAAACUGAAUUACAGCAGGAUGCCUAGUUUGGAAUUCAUUUGUGACUGAUUCGUGGGGUUUUGGAUUAAGGGUUCCAUAGCAAAGUUGUAGACCAUAGUAAAGUGAACAAGUUUUCUAAAGUGAGAUGGACCUGAUUUCACAUAAAUUUGGGAGUAAAAGUAGCCAAAAGGUGGACUGUCUGGUGUUAGAAUUCAGACUUAGAAUAAUAUUUAAGUCUGAAUUUGUGUGUUUUUAUUUAAUUUGGGUCCUUGUGGUUAUUAAUCCAAGAAGAAUUAGUGUAGAAGUGUUAUAGCAAAGUGAAAGACCAUGUUAUAAGGAACAAAUCUCCUUAAGUAAGUUAGGAAAUAACAGCUGUCCAAAACUGGACUGCCAGAGUGACUGUGACUGAAUUUUAUUCAGUUAGCUGAAAUAGCAGUUCAGUGUGGGUUAGUGCUUUGGAAAGGAGAUAAGUUUAUCUAGGAAAGAGAUAAAGUUGCUUAAGAAGUUUUAAGCUUUUGGAUGAGAUAUAAGUUGGAUUAAUUCCCUGGUUUACCUAAGUGAAUUCAAAUUGGUCACUUUAAUCGAGCGAUAAGAAAUAGGUGUAUUCUUGUCAUGUGCUUUAGUUGUAGUGUUUCUGUUCUCCACCUCUCUUUGUGAUAGUUUGCAUUACAUGGCAUUCAUUCUUAUAUAUAUACCUAUAUGGUUAUAUUUAGAAAACGGAGAAGAGGGUGAAGUGACUGAAGAAAAGACAUCACCACCUUUGGAAUCUCAGGCAGAGACUUGUCUCUACUUCGACAUCUGCGAGUCCGAGCCUGACUCACCUACUAACAAAGGCAAGCCCCGGUGCAUGCAACCCCUUCCUUGUGUUUUUAAAUACUUUUCGCACACUUUAAGUCUAGUGAAAUGUGCAUUAAGUUUAUAGGAGUUGCUUGAAACCCUUUGAUGCAUUACUUUCCUUGAUAUCCAUACCUUUAUAGAUACUUCUGGUGAGGUAUCAAAAUAUGAUUUACAAGAAUGCUUAGCCCUGCUUAGAUCUUGUGGAUAGAGGUUGUCCUUAGCCUAGCUCGAGAAAGGAUGACUUCUACCUGCAAGAAUAUUUUCAUUUGGAGCAAUGGUGGGAUCUUACUGCAAAGUUCCCUGUGAUGCUCUUUUCAUCCUAAGGAACAGACACAAUCCUAAGGAUGGAAAUACUUAAAUCGAGAUUUGGGCUAGGAACAGGUGAUGCUCCGCCUGGGUCAAUUAAGGAUUGGAUGCGUAUGUAGGCCUGUUGAUCAAGGACUAUCUUAUCUAGCCACAUGCCCUGAGAAUGGGACAGGGUAAGCUUGAACCCGGCUAUUCCAUACAUGAAAAGACAAUCGCGCACUGGGCGUGGAGAGAUGGCGAGAGUGGCACGUACCCUCCUGGCAACGGAUCGCCUAAAAGGGGUGGUGUACUCUCGGGUGGCGCGGACCUGUUCAUGCAGUGGAGGAUCCGUGGGAAUAGUAGACAUCAAGGUUUACGAGAAACAUAUGUCGUGUGGUUAGAAAUCCUCAGCUGAGUAAAUCGAUUCGGAUCGCCGUUAUAUCCCCGGACAGUGGAGACUUGAGCUCCGACCUACAACCUAAGUCAAGAUGUGAACACUAUGGAUAAAAAUGAUGUUGUAUUGAUGAGAUGAUGAAAUUAGACUAGAUGCAAACAGAGUCUAUUAAAUAUUUAAUCUGGCGUUAAAAUAUUGAAAGUAAGGACCCACUUUAGUAAGCUAUUUCUGCAAAAUUAUCUAAGUUGAUUCUUGCUAAAGCCUCCCCUUGACUCCUAUUUAUCCAGCAUACCCUUGAGAGUCUUUUCCUUAGUCGGGUAAGACUUGCUUAGUAAUUCCAUACUCAGGGUUUAUCCCUUUGUUGUUUUUAGGUGAGGAAGCGACAAAUUUUUGUUGCUUUUGCUCCAAGGUGGUACCAAAUGAGGAAAAACAAGACUGAAGUGCGGGAGGACUCGGUCCUCCACAUAGGAUCUUUUGUUUAUAGCUUAUCGGGAGGAGUUUGUGCCUCCCUUGGUUUGUAAAAUAUUACUACUCUGCACUCGCUUUUAGUUCUGGUCUGUAAUAAGUAACUUGAUCUUACAUUCUAUAUAAAUGUAAGUUUAUGUAAAAGCUUCCGCAUUUCUUUAUCUCCGAUGUUCUGUAAUGUCUGCAAGACGGGUGAAACGUUCCUGGUAAGGUAAGAAAGAAGAUACCGAACUUGUCGAGUGAUUCAGGAACAUCUACAGGGUUGUCUGAUGUCUGUUGGAUAAGGACAACUGUAGGUGGGCCUAAUUACUUGGGAGGUUCCGUCACAGUUCUUGUGUUGUGAACAUAGCCAAAGGUAACUAUAACACCCCAGUGUUACUUAGGGUUUUUCCCAGUACCCCAUCUUGUGACCAUUAUCACAUGUGGCUUUAAUAAGGCAAGAGACACCAAAGCUUCAGGGAUUAAAAGCCUAAGUUAAGUAUUUUUCAACUCAAGAAACAUACUCUAAAUACAUCAUGCACCUCAAGUGAGAAAAGCAUCCAAAACACUAACACUAUCCAAUUUGGCCAUUUAAGCACAAAAAGGGAAUUAGAAAAAAGAUUUUGGAAAAUACAAAAUCUUAAUAUGGACCAAUUGACAAAGUUAUAGUUCAUUAAAUAAACUACAAAGUGUAGUAAGCAAGAUUGAUCAUUGGGAUUUUGUAAAAUUUCCAAAACAGCCCGUUAAGCAAAACCUUUAUAGGAAAUUCAGAAAAAUCCAAGUUCUAAAAUUUAACCUCCUCGCAAAGAUCAGUUUGUUCUCCAAAUUCCAAAACUUGAAUCCACUUGGUCCAAAUAACAAAGUGGCGCCAAAUUUCCCUUAACACACCCUAGCGAAGUUUGAGAACCUUCCUCAGCCGUUUGACAUAAUCUUGGCAUGGAUUUACCUCGGGACACGACCUUGUGACACUGACAUCUUGGCGACGCGACAACUCACUGUACACAACCCCAAACCGCUCGACUUCCACACACAAACGACAAAGCUACGUCAGGGAGCAUAUCUUGUAUAGUGAUCAUGCUCAAAUACGCAAAGAUUUGUAACCUAUGGACGUUUAAACUCGGGUAGAAGCAAACAGCCACGUGCUCGACGCCGUGUCAGGUCGGCCGAGCGUGGACUGGCCGCGGUAGCGCGCGCCCCCGCGUGUGGUCACCCCUCCCCACGCUCCUGUGCCUCACCCCGCCUGUAAGUGCCACCACGACCUCAGCCGUAUCACCUCGCCCGCUCUCACCCUCACCCAAGCAGGAGAUCACCGGAGAUCGCCGCAGAGAGCAAGCGCCACCGUCCGCCAAGCCACCCGAGCUUCGGCCACCGUGGCCAUCCCAUCCGAGCCAUCCCUAGUCCAUGAUAUCAGCUCGGUUAGCUUCGCCAGAGACCCGUGAAGCUCCCUAAUCCCUCAAACCAGCAGAACCUCGCUGGAGACUCCGAAUCACCCUCGCCGGGCUUCUUCCGCUCACCGGCGAACGUAGACCGGGUAAGUCUCUGCGCCAUUUUCCAAUUCCUCAUCGUACCGCCUCUGCGUCACCUGGUCAAGCCUCCCGAGCCAACCAAUUGAACUAUCUCGCCGUGAGCAGGCCGGAGCACUCGCCGCCGAUGAACUCCCCGCCUGCGCACGUGAACCAGCCGACUUCGACCACCUCCGACGCCGACCAGUACCUCGACGUGACCACCGUAACCUCCCCGACCUCCCUAGACCCCUCACCGGAGCCAUCUCGCCGCCGGUAAGCCCCUCCGCCCCUUCCUCUGCCACAGGUACUAUUUCAAUAAGGGAAGGACCGUGGGAUUGAUUUAGGGUUACCCCAGGGGUCAUGCGUAAUGUCAAUGGCUUAGUGGAAUAGUGGAUCGAGGGUUAGUUUGUAAGGAACGCAGGAAAACUUUACCAGGGACCCUAACGUUGUAGGGGGCCUUCCUCUUCCGAAGGUCCUCAAAAACUUAACUAACAUGUUUUUCAGCAUAACAUAGACUGGUACAGGAGGCUUCGGCUUUGAGAUGAAGGUGUGUGUGAUAUGAAGGCGUGGUCUGAUGUGGCAGAACCGCCCAAAUUAUUCCAGCUUAAGUGCCCUAGUCCCGCCUUAGAGGUGAUGGCACACUUAAAUCGAAAUAACCCGUCAGUCCCUCAGAUCUGGUCCGAUACAGCCACUUACCAAGGAUCGAAUACCACUAGCUCACUCGAAGGUGAGGCACAGAGAAAUACAAUAAAGCAUAACACCAUAAAUGUAAUUAGUAUCAAUAGUGGUUACAUUAUCGGAGUUUCAGAAAUAGUAACCAUAGGUUUUAAUGCAGCGGAAAUAACUAACGGAGAAAACCGAGUAACAUGGCGAAGCCGAGCCACGCUACUCCUCCUGAUCCUCUCCUGCGGAAGCAGCAACCCACUCGACCGUCUAUCCCGGUGGCAGGGAUGGAGGCCAAGUCACACCAUCAACCAAAUCAAGGAGGUACCUGCAAAAAUUAUGCCACAAGCAAGGCUGAGUAUACUAAUACUCAGCUAGACUUACCCGGUGUUUGGAGUCUACUCCUCUACCUCUAGACCAUGCGACUGUUUGGCUGAGGGGUUUGGUUUGCCAAAAGCACUAGCUGAGUCUAAAAACAAGUUUUAGCUUUUCAAGUUCUAGAAUAAUAAUUUAGACUAGAUGAGUACCUAACUAUCCAUACAUGGUAUCAAGCAAUUUAGUCAACCAACAUCUUUGUAAGUAACCUCAUUUCCACUUAUUACUCAAUGCAGUACAAUGGAUCAAGUAGUCUCAUUAGCUACGAGAAGCAGACGAUUUGAAUCGAGUUUUUAACCUUGCAAGGUAAACCUAAACACACGACAUGUAGGGGCACUCCGUCCCCACACAUAUCAACUGUCCCCAUCGAUCCCCCGUUCGCGGCCAGGGCUCACCGCCUUGGCAUACAAUGCUCCACUAACCCCGGCUGCCGCCGUGCAGUGGCCGCACUUGUACCCACCAUAUCCGGAAUGGGAGAUCACGUCUCAGGACAAGUGAGGGGGAAAGUCCGCGCCCGGCUUCACUCAGGUACUAGGCUUACCGGUUACCAUAUUUCCCGACAUGUGUUUAGUACGUUCAAACGCUUGACAAAGGGUUUCCGCACGUUAAUCCUUAUUCCAAUUUCGUCUCAUAGACAACGCAUCCCCAUGGAUCCGUGUCCACAGACCAUCAUCAUUCUGUUAUCAAAAUGGAUACAACCAAUUCUUGACCUCGCGCGAGUGCUAAAAAAUCACUCGACUUCUACCGAGAUCCUGAUUUAGCAUAGCAGCUACUCGACAUAGCAUAUUAGUAUCCAUCUCAAAAGGAAUCCUGAGUUCAUGCAACUAGGGUUUCAAGCAACUCCUACACUUAAGUGCACGGUACAAGCCUACAAACAUUAAGUGUAGUAAAAUAGCAUAUAUAUAACGGUUAUGCAUAAAACCGGGGCUUGCAUGGAAUUCAACACUAGAUAGUGUUUGCUGGGGGAUACUCGCUUGGCGAGCAUCUCCUAUCCUGGCCUUUGUUCUGUCUGUCCAUAUUCAAGGCGUCUGCCAACACCGUCUUGGAGUCAGCUCUACUCCAUGUCCUUUAUCCCGCACGAUCACCAUCUCUCGAUCCUAAAUGAGAUGCAGGAUGCAUAUGUAUGACUAUGAUGAAAUAUAUCACAAGACAUUAAAUACAUGGUAGCAAACUAACAUUAAAUUGUAAGACACCAUAAACAACCACACGCUAGCAUUAGUUAUCUACACAUUAUCGGCGUUCAACAUUAACACCAUUAAAAAGACGACAAACAUUUUAUAUAUUUACGCAACACAAAUACGACAUCACAAGUACACGCAUUUACCACGCUCACCUUAAUCAUUCAUUGGUUCUCCUAUUGACCACACAAGAGCCACCAAGACAACGUAAGUUUAAAUACGACAUAUGCAUCAAUAACUACGGAACUCCUAUCCACAACCAACUAUAGCAAGCAAGCACAUUAAUCAUGGAACGCAUGUUAACCUAAGUUUAUCCAUUACAAGUCUAUGUCUGUUAUGUGCUAACUAAGCAGUUUUAGCCAAAAGGGUGAACUAAACAAUCAAAUGAGCACUUGCAGAUUUUUGGAUAGCAACAUAGUAGUUACUUGUUUGUUUCAGUCAUCAAUCACACGUUAUUUAUCCAAAAAUUGUGAACAAAUACUUUUUGGAAAGCUUAUGAAACGCUCUACAUCUUUGGUAUUAUCAUCUCAACAUGAUUAGACGCUUAGCAAGGUUGAAUUGUGCAAAAAUAACAGCUCUGUCCAGGUUGGACAGAUUUAGGCUCUAUGUUUCAAACCUUCAUAACCAGAGAAUCAUGCAUCCAAAACAGGUAAUCCUAGACUUUAUGGAAAGCUAAUGAAAUUCUCUACAAAUCAUUUAUAAACAUCUCAAGGUGAUUCAAUAUGCAAUUAAGGAUAAAAGACACUAGAAGACUUUGCUGUCCAGACUUGGAUAGAUUCAGUCUUUCCACUUUAAACAUCCAUAACUUAAUCUUCAGAUCACCAAAAAGAGUGAUCCAAGACAUUUUAGAAAGCUCAGCAAAAGUACUACACAACGUUUAUAAUCAUCAAGGAGUGCUUCAAUGCUUAACUAAAUCAAACAAUACAGUUUUUGAAAUCUGUUCUGACAGUGGACAGAACACAGCAACCAGUUUGUAAAAUUCAUAACUCUUAAUUUAUUAGGCCUAUGGUUAUGAAAUUUUAACACAAGAAAGAUAAGAAAAUAAUAUACAACUUUAUUGUAACGACCAUGAAUAGAUUGUAACAUUAACUUAAGCAAACAAUGCAAUCUCUGAAAUCUGUACAGAAAUUGGACAGAUUUAGUUACGGAAUUUGUGAAAAGCAUAACUUCUAAACGAUCAGACUUAUGGCUGUCCAAUUUUAAUACAAGCAACAUAAUAAGGUUAUCUACAACUUUUCUAUAUGACUUUUCUACAGAAAACAUAAUUUAGUUCAUCAAACCUACAGCACGACGAAAACGGUGCGUGCAGUCCAAAACAGCAACUAACAAUUUUCAGCUCACAUUUACUUUAAGAAUUGCCGCGUUAUAGAGACUUGAAUUAUUUUAACACUUUACCAUUUAUUAGAGUUGAAACAAUCAAAUUAGGACCAAUAAGUUGACUUACUAACUUUUUAUCCAAGUCAUUUCGUGCCUAGAAUUUCCAUACACAAUUAAAAACGCAUCUACCACAAUAAUCUUACCCGGUAUAUAUAUGUUUAUCGAUGCGUCCUUUACACACUGAUUUGCAUUUUAACUUAGACAUUACAUGAACACUACUACCUUUCAUCUGUGACCAUAAGCAUACACAUUUAGACCACAACAAGCAUUUCACCGUGAUUACGAGCUUAACCAAAAGCCAUCUAACAAUUCGGCUAACUAGAGCAGCGACAUAGCCUACUAUACAACUUUCUCGUCGGCUAGCCUAUUAUUAUCACAAUCCGAGACACAACAUAUAUAUAACAAUCAUUUAACGCAAUCGACUCCUACUUGAUUAUUUGAAGUGUCUACUCAGCGUCUUGAACACAACCCUACACUAGGUGCGAAGUGUAUCUCGAUGAACACAUAAUGCGCAUUGACCCAACUCAAAUAUAUAGAGGAAGUGAUGACUACUUAGGCAUGUCAUCACCUCACUACACAAGCCAAAAAUUAUUAUUAUUAUUAAUAUUAUUAUUAUUAUUAUUAUUAUUAUUAUUAUUAUUAUUAUUAUUAUUAUUAUUAACCACACACCUAUAUAAGCAUGAUUUCAAGUCAAAUUGCCAUCUUUUAAAUCUCGGCAUAAGCUUGGCUAUUGGCUAAUGACGUGACUAUUUUCCAAUUGCCAACAUACACCACCUUUCGCCAUUUUUGAAUAACUUGCACGACACACAGCUAUUGUAACACAUCAUAAGUACAUUCAACCCCAUUAGUAGAGCACCAGCACAUUUCCGAAAAUUUCCCGAGACUACGACGACAAGGCAUCGAUCUUACCACACACAUAAAGCACCACAAGCAUAUUUACGGAACCUAUCGGUUAACUUGAUCGACACCAUACGCAUGUUCUUUGUCCUUCAAAAUUUAUCGCACAACAGGAAUCAUCUCACUUGCUAAUGACACCAACAAUACCUACUGAUCUAUUAUUUACAACACGAACACAGUUACACGCCACAUACUAGUUUCUAACAUAAUCCUCACAUAACUCGUAAUUCAACUACUCACUAACAAUAAAUCACGCACGAUAGCUACCACAUUAACCGGUUAAUUUAUUUGGAACACCGCCCGCCUAGCGUACCAUUAGUAUAUGAACUCCGACACUCAUAUCUUAACAAUACAUCCUCCACGCAAACUAGCAUUUUCUAAACUACUCGACACAUCAAUAAAUAUGCCCCCUAUAUAAUCAUGAAUCCCAUCACAUGGCAUAAAACAAAUACACUUUUCACAUAAACACAUAUCGAUGCAUUUCACAAAACAUAAUCCGCAUUUUGUAACUUAGUCUUCGCAUCAAACAACUCAUCGCAUAUUUUUCCUAUCAAAAUAUAAAAACAUUCGAGUUCUUUUCUACUUCAUUUUAUUCUCUACACGCGUCCAUUCAUACAAUUAUACUUUCAUGCACAUAUUCACGCCAUCGGCUGAACCGUAAAUAAAACAAAAUCACAAUUUUUCUAAAGCGAACAACCUGGCCGAAACCCGAGUGGAGUUGUGCAUGCAUGCAUGUCGGUUUGGCUUUCUGUCGAGAAACAACGGACGAAGCGCGACGACGACAAGGGGCUGCGAUUAAACGACAUACACAAUUAUUACACAGCUUAUUAGUUCAAUUAUUUUAUAAAAUCAAGGAACACGGAACAACGAGGUCUCACCAAAGAAUUUUGGUGUCGUGGAUGGGGCUGCUCGUCCUUGCCGAGGUCGAGCGUGAGGAGCGCUGCUACUGCUGCUGCUUGGAGAGUAGGCGAGCGCAAGACGAGGCUGUGCAGCGAGUAGCGAGGACAUAGGGCACCACCAUGGCGCUGUCCACGACACAAUGCUCACCCGGGCAUUUUGUCGAACAGCCGAUGGGCACCACGGAGAACAGCGAGGAGGGUUCACUGUUGUGCGCAAGGAAGGGCGCCAUGGAGAAAGAUGAGGCUAGCAUUGGCUUGAGGGUGAGCCUGUCGGCGAUGCAGUGGGCGGAGGGGGCGCUGGACGGUGCCCAAAACAGAGAUGAACAGAGGGAGGAGUCGGUAGAGGAGGGCGUAGGGAACUAGUGACCAUGGACGGGGAAAAGACCACACCAUGGGGGGGGGGUGUUCACCGGCGCGAGCUCAGACCAGAGGGGGCCCUGCGCCGACCAAGGGAGAGUGGAGGUCGGCCAUGGCCACACUCAAGGUGCGCAGGGCACUGAGAGGAGUAGCCAUGGCCAUGGAGGCCCUUGCUGCUAGAGGUGCAAGAAAGGGGGGGCUGAGCUAAUGGGGGAGUAUGACGCUGUGCAGGGGGCAUGGCCAGAGGCGAAAGUGUGUCGAGUUGGGGAGGCUGGGCGCUUCGGAAGACGAAGAUCCCAUGGCCGACUUGGAGCUGGUGGUUGCAGAGAGAGGGGAGCUCGUAGGGUCGAGCUGCUGGGAGAUGGGAGCGGCUGCUCCCUGCUCUUGGGGAAGAAGGGCGCCGUCGAGGGAGGUGAAGCCAAGGGGGGAGGGGUCGAGCGCCCAUGGUGGCCCUGCUCCUGCGCUGAACCAGAGAGGAGGAAGACGCUAGGAGAUGCUUCUGCGCUAAGGAACAAAGGGAGGAGGAAGAACUACGCUGGCUGCUGAUUGAUUUAACCAAGACACCGCUGGUAACCAUUGGCCACCGCGGGCAGCAGCCAUCUACUGGCUAGGGGCUGGCAGUGGCAGCUGUUGGCCAAGAGAGCGGCGACCAGCUACUGGCCAUGGACCGUGGUGGCCAGGUCUGCACAAAAGUAGACAGUAGCGUGUGGGCAAGCGUUGUUUAUGGGGUUCUAAAGCGUCCGUCCGUUCAUCUUCCUCUCUUUUUUCUAACGUGACACAUGAGGAAAGUGAAAGAGCAAAAGAAUAAAUACUACGUUUUAAUCUCUCUACUAUAAUUAAUUAUUAAUUGGUUUCUUAUCAAACAGCUCGCGAUCACAUGGACAUCAACAGGACCAAUUUUGGUAGACAUUUGAGUCGACGGUGCUCGAAAAAAUAUUGUGUCUUAUAUUUUUUUAACGAUCUGGCUCAAAUUUGACCGUGCUCUUGAAUUAGAACCUCACAACUUGGAUUAAAAUUAAAUAACACGAAUUGUUCCUUUUUAAGUGUUAUUGUCGCUUUUGUUCGUGCCAAAACUUAAAAUUACGCCCCAUUUUUAUUCAUGGCUCACUCAAAAUUACCGUUGUCAUGAAUUUAGGUUUGCCAUUUUGUGUGAGUCUUUAUUCUAUGUUUUCGAAUUCGGAUCGGCUACGGGUAUUAACAAGUCGGGUUAGAUAAGACUUAUUUCGAAGCUGACACAAUAGAGAUCCCGCUUAAGCAUACGGACCUGGAUAAAAUAUUUGGACAUGGAUGGCUAGUCGAGAAAUCGGGGUUUGACAUAGAUCAAAGGUCAAGGAAAUCAGACUCGACCACGGCUCGACUAGCAACUAUCGAGCACUCGAUUAAAUAAGCUUUAGACAAGAUUUAUAAAUCGAGAUGGAUUAUCGAGUUUGCAUUCGUGCCGAGAAAUAAAAGUUUUAACAGGCUCCAAUUUAGGCCUUUCUCAAGAUCGAAGAAAUUCAAAAAUUGGUAAACCCUUCACAAGUAACUUGAUAAAAGGAGAUAAACGUGAUCGAGAAAUAGAAAUUUCCACUGACGAUUCGAGUUAGGGACAAAUCUCUCGACAUAAUAUGAAAUAGACACCUGUGGUGUCUCAUCUGAAGGAAGGACAAACGAGCUCCGAAGCUGCGGUUGAAGGAGCUUCGGCUUAAUACGAUGACGAUGGUGAAAGAUGGAACCGACCUAAAGGAGAAAAGACUGCAUAGUCCUCGAUAGCUUGCAUUAAGGUUAAUAGUAAAUGUCAGGGACAUGAAUGUAAUUUUUCUCGGGCUGCGUCCGUGCCUAUAAAUAGAUGAACAUUAACACAGUACUGUUCACGCUGCAUUGUAAUCGCUCCUGCGUCUCUCACAUUCUCUCCUUCUAUCGAGCCGAAGGUAUCAAUGAAAUAUAAAUAUUAUCUAUAUACACAUCAUAAAAGGAAAGAGAUGAGAAGAGACUUCAUGUUUAUGAAAUGAAAUGAGAAUGUAAAUAAUCCAUUUCUAUAUUGAUGUUAUUUACAUUCUUAUAUGUUAAGUGUUCCUUUAUUUAUAUCCAUUUACCAAGAUGAUGAAGGUAUUCCCUUCAUGACCUUCGUCCGAAGAUCAUUAUAUCCGAAAGGAGAUAAUGUCUCGAGGGACGAAGGUCCUUAUCCAUUAACAAUUGUGUUGCUUUGUUCUUGAUGUAUAGCAUUCAAGAACAAGGACCAACAUUGGCGCCCACCUCCGGUGAACUCAUUCGACCACCUUCGGCAAGCAUCGACCUUCGUCAUGCCGCCGAAGAAGACAUUAGCGCCAGGGGCUGCACUGCAGCCACUAGACACUAAUCAGGAGACACUACGCGAAGCUAGGAGCCAGAAGAGCAAGGCUACGAGCUCAACACCUCAAGAGGAGGAACUGGAUCAAGAGAUCAGGGAUCUGGAAGCUAUCCAUCAACAGGUCCAAAAGAAGAGAGAGAAGAUGCUUCGGCUCGCCGAUCUCUAGAGGAAGAUCGAUGAAGCAGCCGAAGAAAUGCGCCACCUCACUCAGGAUGACCAAGACCGAAGGCCCCAACACAGGGAGCUUCGCCAAGAAAAUCCAUACAAUGAUGAUGAAUGGUACGGUGACUUUCAUCAUGACAAUUUUUCUUUUGAUGAUGCUUCUCUCUUAGCAGCAGAACUGCAGGCUACCCCAUGGCCGCCGUCAUAUAAGCCACCUCAGCUUCCUAUGUAUGAUGGGCACUCAAACCCGAAGCAAUUCCUCAUGAGCUACGAAGCAAUCAUAUCUUCAUAUGGGGGCAAUACUGCAGUCAUGGCGAAAUCCUUCGUCAUGGCAGUCAAAAGCGUAGCUCAAACUUGGUACUCUUCUCUUCGGCCAGGGACAAUUACAUCGUGGCAGAAGCUAAAAGACAUGCUGGUCACUAGCUUCCAGGGUUUCUAAACGAAGCCAGUCACUGUCCAAGCUUUGUUCCAGUGCACAUAGGACCAGGAAGAGUACCUACAGGCGUAUGUCCGAAGGUUCCUGCGAUUAAGAGCCCAGGCGCCUACAGUGCCCAAUAAAAUUGUCAUUGAUGCCAUGAUCAAGGGGCUCAGACCAGGACCAACGACACAAUAUUUUGCAAUGAAGCCGCCGCAAACAUUGGAGAAGCUUCUCCAGAAAAUGGUCGAAUACAUCAGAGCUGACAAUGAUUUUCAGCAAAGAAGGGAAGAAGCUUACAGAUACUCUGAAAUGGCCAGGGGCUUUGGAGGAAGAUUCCACCCCAGGCAUGUCAGGUCAAUCCACAAUGCCAGCCCAAGUGAUGACAGGGGAAGCCAAACCUAAAUGCAACAGCAUAGCUCCCAAUCAUCAGGGGUGCAACAAAGUUCCUUCAGGGCACUAGCUCCAAGGGGCAGAGGGGGCAGAAGCUUCGGAGGAAGAUAUGGGGAUCAGCCCAGGAGACUGUUUUGUCUGUUUUGCGGCGAAGACAAAGGCCACACCACAAGAACGUGCCAAGUCACGAUUCAGAAGCAGAAAGAGAUUGCCGAAGCUGAAGCACAACAGAAUCAACCGAAGCAGGUACUAUAUACAGCUUCAUGCUAUUCUCCCUAUGUCCUAGAGUACGUACGCAAUCAGCAGCCUACGGCCUUGGUCGCUUCGGCAAGCCAUUCUCAAGCUUCCUGGGCCCAGCUCCCACCACCACCACCGCUAGACCUACUCUGGUCCGGAGCUAGCAGCCAGAAGAGCAUCAACACGCUCAGCAGCAACGAGAUUUUUGGGAGGAUUCCGAAGCUCGCACAGUCAAUAGAACUGUGCCCGAGUCCAAGCACAUUUACUAAAGCAUAUCCUACCCUGGCGCAUUUUCGUUUCUUCCGCCAUUUUAUUUUCUUGUAUGAAAGACAAUCCACGAAGGAUUAAAUUCCAAUUUGAUGUAAUCAUAUUGUAGUCACAUCAUCGAGUGGGAUGCAUCCCCUUAACAAGAUCCCGAAGUUACAAAAGUCGUUACUAAGGGAGCGCAAAGCAAGUUCCUAAGCCACAAAAGUCGUUCGUAAGGGAGCGCAAAGUAAGUUCCGAAGCUACAAAAGUCAUUCCUAAAGGAAUGCAGAGUAAGUUCCGUAGCUCAAAAGUCGUUCCUAAGGGAAUGCAGAGCUAAAAUACCACCGAAAUAGAAGGUGAAGAAGCUCCAAAGUCGUUCCUAAGGGGAUACAGAGCUUAAAUGCCACCGAAAUAGAAGGUGAAGAAGCUCCAAAGUCGUUCCUAAGGGGAUGCAGAGUUUAAAUGCCACCGAAAUAUAAGGUGAAGAGACUCAAAAGACGUCCCUAAGGGGAUGCAGAGUCUAGGAGUGUUUCUGUGUGGGUAUGUGUCUUCGGCAUAAACAUCAUACUACAGCAUAUCAUCGCAUCAUUCCGCAUAGCAUUACAUCAUACAUCAUGUCGCAUCAGCAGCAAGAUCAUGCCGAAGGAAAUUUGCUUCUUUCGAAAUAUAAGAUGAAUGAAACAGUGUGAUGAACCACAAAGCACACCUUCGGCAAUUACAAUUUUACACGCCAGGAAAAUUUUCGUCGACAACAAUACCAUACAACAACUCUGCUAUAGAAAGGCUUUUUCUUUACGAAGCAUGAAAAGAAGGGAAGGUGUUUUUUCGCCGAAGGCUCAAAAAAUGGUAUGCAUGCAAAUUUCAUGCAUCACAAAGAAAUAUGUUACAUUAAUACACAUGCAGAUAUACAAAGUUUAACUCAUGUACAAAUAUUACAUUGCCCAAAUGUUACAUUUCUUAACUACACAAAAAUCUAGUCUUCCUUCAAAAUUUUCUCGGCAGCUUCGUUUGGAAGUUUGUUGACAGCUUCGUCAACAACUUCUUCGGCAAUUCUUAUGGUUUCUAGCGUCGCCUUCAUGGCUGGAUCGACUUCGGGAUCAUAGGGCUCGGGUGGCGGUGAAAGUUCAGCUACAGUAAAAGUAAGAAAUUGUUAAUCCAAAGCUAGGAAAAAUAUUGAAGCUAUCAAAAAAAUUAAAAUACAUAUGCACCUUGCGUGCUCGGCAGCCUCUUUGGCUCGCUUGGCUUCUUCUCGGGCUUCAUGGGAUUCUUUCUCGUUCUUCAUUAUAGCUUUAUCGGCCAAUUCUCGGCCGCCUUUCAUCCAAACGUCGGAUUAGAAUUUCCCACCCAUCAGAGUAGCCUCAGCCGAGGGAUCCUUCGUGUUCUCUACAAUAAAGACAGCCUCCGUUUGGGUUGCAGCUUUAACAUGUUCAUAGCCAGACUUUUCUAAAAUUGCUGCAACCCCUCUGGCAUCGGCAAAAGCGCAGAAAUCACCACGAUCGCUAAGGAUCUCAUCAAAGGCUUCAGCUUCUUCGCCGAUCCAUUCGAUGAUUCCUUCGGGAUCGCCUCUAAUAAAUUUUUGCUCAGAUGUGUAUGCACCCACCUUCGCAAAACUAUCUUUCAAUUUCUUAGCUCAAUCCAAGGAUUUCUCAUAAUACCUCUUCUUCGACUCCCGAAGCUCAUCUACAUUCUUUUGCAAUCUUGCGCUAGUCCAUUCGCUUAUUUCCUGUUUUGCUUUAGCCACUUCAAAAUCUUCAUUCUUCUCGGCAAGCUUUUUCUUUAAGUUUUUAAUUUUAGCUCUAUGAGCUUCAAACUGCGCAACAAGACUGGCUUCACUAGCCUUAAUUUUGUCCACCAAGGAAAGCAGAAUUUUAUCCUUCUCCGUGGCUUUGUUCCUCAGUUUGAUAACCUCUGACCGAAGCUUACUAAGGGCUAUUUGGCAGCUUUCAUCUUCAGCAUUUUUCUGUGCCCUUAAAGCAUUGCUUAGAAUUAAGCCCUACAAAAAGCGGGGGAGGAAAAGGAUCAGCACAUGAUUAAAAGAUACAAAAAUAAUCUGCUCAUAAGUCAACAACUUCUAUACCUUCAGACUAUUGUAAGCGAGGCUGUCUGUGAGGUCAUCCUUCGACAUAGCAGAGAGGCCAACUUUGAACUUCGGAAAUCCUAUGUUUCUUGCCAUCUCCCGGCAAACAGAUAUUUUCUUAUUGUCCGGGAGGCAGUACAAAAAGUCAUCCUCAUCGGUGCCAUUAUACACCAGGGAUCCUUUCGGAUAUUUCAGUUCCUGGGCAUAGUGUCUAGCUUCGGGAAUUUCCUCUUCUGAUAGUUUUCUACCCGAAGCGUGUCGAAUGAUAAAGUCUCGCUCUUUAGUAGACGCUUCGGGAGUAGAAGAUUCAAUCUUCUUGGGCACGUCUUCUUUUUCUAGGACCGGAACGACAUCCGAAGAUUCUUGUUCAAUACUCUGUCUCGCUUCAGCAGACCCUGUUUCAAUGGGCACUAAAGGCCCAGCUUCAACUUCAGCACAAAUUGUAGUAGCUUCGACAGUCUCCUUUGCAGGAGCAGGAGUUGACGCCCUUGUCGAUUCCAGGACUGCAUCCAGCACGCUGGCCAUCCUCCUCUUGGGAGUUAUUGCAGGAGCUUUCGAUGCCUUCGGUAAUUCCGGCUCUGGUAGCGGGCUCAAGAACUUUGGUAACCCUGUCGGCUCCCCUAGCUCUGGCUCUUUGGCUACUUUUCCUUUGGCUUCGGCAGAACGCUUCGGCGCUUCGGCCGACUCGGUUGUAGGAACCUUUGCCACUUCAGCCGAUUCUCCCUUAGAGCCGGCAGAAGCAGGGUAUCCUUGCUCAGCGGUGGAAGAUGUUCCUUUAGCAAGCCUCGACACUCUGGUCGUUUCAAUGUAUCUAGGCUGGUGCGUCAAAACCUUAAUCUUCUUACCCUUCGGCGCAACAGAUAUGGCUGAAGUAGCAGCUUUUCAUUUCUUUCCAUGCUUCCACGAGGGAUAGCUAUAAUCUGGGUAUACAAAGCCAAUAACAUCGAAAACUCUGUUUAAUCUUUUCUUGCCUCGCCUUCCGAAGGCUAAAGUCAUGGCAUCAUCUUCGGCCCUUGUGUAGGCCCCAAGCAACUCGUCGUUGGUUGCCUCAAAACAGUUCAACCAGUCAUCAUUCGGUUCAUCAAACUAAUCUCUGUAUCUGAAGAUAUAUUUCAGAUAAACCAAGUCGCCUUGACUAGACCCGGCAGCAGUCUCCUUCGGCAUUUCCCCGUCAUUCACAAGAGGCCACACUCUAUAGGCUAUGUGCUCCUGGACUAGGUCUCUCGUGCCAAUAAAGGUGCAUACAUUGUUGAAAGCCUUCUGGCAUGAUUCAAUAUCGUUUCCAAGAGAAGUAGCCGGCCUUCUGAUGCCGAAGAGAGACCAAAUAGGGUGCUGGAUAAUCCCCUUUAUAUCUUCCCUUUCAACUAAGUUAUUCUUUACAUAAAACCAUUCUUCCAUCUAGGCCCCUGACCACCUCUUUCGAAAUGUUGGAACUGGAUAGCUUACAUCAGAACAAGGCACGAAGCUAUAACAACCAAAAUUAUUAUGAUACUGCUCCUUGCCAGUAGCCUUCGUCUCAUACAACAGCUCGUGCAUGUUUCAGAAACAUUUUGCACUAGGCUCUAGUCCUUGGCUCAUCACAGCCCAAAUAAAAUCCCCAUCCUGAUUAUGGCUUCAGGGGUAAUCUGAUGAAGAAAAAUCUCAAAAGUCUUUAGCACUUCAGCUAGAAAUUUACUCAAUGGAAACCGAAGCCCUGCCUUCAUGAAGCUCCUGUAAACAACAACUUCGUCUACCUCGGGCGCAGGGGCGGCGCUGUCCCCUCCAGCUCUCACAAUGGACAUAUCACGGAAAUAUCUCCCUUUCAUAGCAUCAAUCUUACUCUGUUUGAUGGAUGAUUUUCCAAAGAUAGUGUGACUCGGCCUCUAGGGCCGAUCUUCGGCAUCUUUGUUCCCAUUUUCCACAUCAAAGCUUUCGCUAUCACCAAAAUCUUCAGACAACCUAGCUAGCAUUUCAUUUGUAAUCUUCUCUGUGUUCAUCUUCUCCACAGCCUCGUAAAACCAAGCUAGAGCGGGAUCAACAACCUUCUUCUCUUCAGCCAUCUAGUAAGCACUUGUGCAAAUGCCGAAGCUCACAAAUCAAUCAAAAUCUGACAGAGCAAGAAAAUCCAAGCUUGAAAAAAUAGCACAAGCGUUUGAGAUGGCGCACCAAAUGCUAUCAAUGCGGGUUCCUAUUUAUAUGCCCAGCGCAUUACAACUUGGUGGGCCCUACAUGUCAUUGACGUUCGCUAUUCUAGCGAAGGGAAGGUGUUUUUUCGGACCUUCGGCUAAAGGCCUUCGUUCACGUCAUAGUCUGAAUUUGUUAAAUACAAAAAUAAAUUAAUACUGCGAGGGACUACUGUUGGGGGCCUUCCUCCUCCGAAGGUCCUUAAAAACUUAACUUACAUGUUUUUAAGCAUAACAUAGACUGAUACAGGAGGCUUCGGCUUUGAGAUGAAGGUGUGGGUGAUAUGAAGAUGCGGUCUGAA